GUGAACGCCCUCACGGGCUUAUAACUAUUCCAAACCUCUGUGAACCGUGCCCUUCGGGGCUAUUUUACAAACAUGGUGUAAUGAACGUCAUAUAUAAUAACAAAACAAAACUUUCAACAACGGAUCUCUUGGCUCUCGCAUCGAUGAAGAACGCAGCGAAAUGCGAUAAGUAAUGUGAAUUGCAGAAUUCAGUGAAUCAUCGAAUCUUUGAACGCACCUUGCGCCCUCUGGUAUUCCGGAGGGCAUGCCUGUUUGAGUGUCAUGUAGACUCAAUCCCUCGGGUUUCCGAGGAGAUUGGACUUGGGUGUUGCCGCUCUGCCGGCUCGCCUUAAAAGACUUAGCGGGAUAGCACCGUAGUCGGCGUAAUAAGUUUCGUCGGUGAAGGUUGUGAUGACUGCUUACAAUCGCCCUCGGGCAAUUUUUGAC
rnacentral:misc_RNA from 1 species